rnacentral:rRNA from 1 species
UACGGGGGGGGCAAGCGUUGUUCGGAAUUACUGGGCGUAAAGGGCGCGUAGGCGGCCUGCUAAGUCGGAUGUGAAAUCCCUCGGCUCAACCGAGGAACUGCAUCCGAUACUGGCGGGCUUGAAUCCGGGAGAGGGAUGUGGAAUUCCAGGUGUAGCGGUGAAAUGCGUAGAUAUCUGGAGGAACACCGGUGGCGAAGGCGGAUCUCUGGGCCUUGCCUGACGCUGAGGCGCGAAAGCUAGGGGAGCGAACAGG